rnacentral:rRNA from 1 species
GGGUUCAUGCAUUUGGACUUACACAUGCAGUCGAGCGGGGAAGGUUGCUUCGGUAACUGACCUAGCGGCGGACGGGUGAGUAAUGCUUAGGAAUCUGCCUAUUAGUGGGGGACAACAUCUCGAAAGGGAUGCUAAUACCGCAUACGUCCUACGGGAGAAAGCAGGGGACCUUCGGGCCUUGCGCUAAUAGAUGAGCCUAAGUCGGAUUAGCUAGUUGGUGGGGUAAAGGCCUACCAAGGCGACGAUCUGUAGCGGGUCUGAGAGGAUGAUCCGCCACACUGGGACUGAGACACGGCCCAGACUCCUACGGGAGGCAGCAGUGGGGAAUAUUGGACAAUGGGGGGAACCCUGAUCCAGCCAUGCCGCGUGUGUGAAGAAGGCCUUUUGGUUGUAAAGCACUUUAAGCGAGGAGGAGGCUACUGGUAUUAAUACUACCGGAUAGUGGACGUUACUCGCAGAAUAAGCACCGGCUAACUCUGUGCCAGCAGCCGCGGUAAUACAGAGGGUGCGAGCGUUAAUCGGAUUUACUGGGCGUAAAGCGUGCGUAGGCGGCUUUUUAAGUCGGAUGUGAAAUCCCUGAGCUUAACUUAGGAAUUGCAUUCGAUACUGGGAGGCUAGAGUAUGGGAGAGGAUGGUAGAAUUCCAGGUGUAGCGGUGAAAUGCGUAGAGAUCUGGAGGAAUACCGAUGGCGAAGGCAGCCAUCUGGCCUAAUACUGACGCUGAGGUACGAAAGCAUGGGGAGCAAACAGGAUUAGAUACCCUGGUAGUCCAUGCCGUAAACGAUGUCUACUAGCCGUUGGGGCCUUUGAGGCUUUAGUGGCGCAGCUAACGCGAUAAGUAGACCGCCUGGGGAGUACGGUCGCAAGACUAAAACUCAAAUGAAUUGACGGGGGCCCGCACAAGCGGUGGAGCAUGUGGUUUAAUUCGAUGCAACGCGAGAACCUUACCUGGUCUUGACAUACAGAGAACUUUCAGAGAUGGAUUGGUGCCUUCGGGACUCUGAUACAGUGCUGCAUGACUGUCGUCAGCUCGUGUCGUGAGAUGUUGGGUUAAGUCCCGCAACGAGCGCAUC